UACGUAGGGGGCGAGCGUUGUCCGGAAUUACUGGGUGUAAAGGGUGUGUAGGCGGGACAGCAAGUCAGAUGUGAAAAUCAUGGGCUCAACUCAUGACCUGCAUUUGAAACUGUGGUUCUUGAGGGUCGGAGAGGUAACCGGAAUUCCUGGUGUAGCGGUGAAAUGCGUAGAUAUCAGGAGGAACACCGGUGGCGAAGGCGGGUUACUGGACGAUUACUGACGCUGAGACACGAAAGCGUGGGGAGCAAAC
rnacentral:rRNA from 1 species